UACGUAGGGUGCAAGCGUUAAUCGGAAUUACUGGGCGUAAAGCGUGCGCAGGCGGUUGUGCAAGACAGGUGUGAAAUCCCCGGGCUUAACCUGGGAAUGGCAUUUGGGACUGCAAGGCUCGAGUGCGGCAGAGGAGACUGGAAUUCCUGGUGUAGCAGUGAAAUGCGUAGAUAUCAGGAGGAACACCGAUGGCGAAGGCAGGUCUCUGGGCUGACACUGACGCUCAUGCACGAAAGCGUGGGGAGCAAACAGG
rnacentral:rRNA from 1 species